rnacentral:rRNA from 1 species
UACGUAGGGUGCAAGCGUUAAUCGGAAUGACUGGGCGUAAAGGGUGUGUAGGCGGUCUUUUAAGUCUGAUGUGAAAUCCCCGGGCUCAACCUGGGAACUGCGUUGGAAACUGGAAGACUAGAGUACGUAAGAGGGGGGUGGAAUUCCACGUGUAGCAGUGAAAUGCGUAGAGAUGUGGAGGAACACCGAUGGCGAAGGCAACCCCCUGGGACGAUACUGACGCUGAGGCACGAAAGCGUGGGGAGCAAACAGGAUUAGAAACCCGCGUAGUCC